rnacentral:rRNA from 1 species
GAUGAACGCUAGCUACAGGCUUAACACAUGCAAGUCGAGGGGAAACGAUAUUGGAAGCUUGCUUCCGAUAGGCGUCGACCGGCGCACGGGUGAGUAACGCGUAUCCAACCUGCCCACCACUUGGGGAUAACCUUGCGAAAGUAAGGCUAAUACCCAAUGAUAUCUCUAGAAGACAUCUGAAGGAGAUUAAAGAUUCAUCGGCGAUGGAUGGGGAUGCGUCUGAUUAGCUUGUUGGCGGGGUAACGGCCCACCAAGGCGACGAUCAGUAGGGGUUCUGAGAGGAAGGUCCCCCACAUUGGAACUGAGACACGGUCCAAACUCCUACGGGAGGCAGCAGUGAGGAAUAUUGGUCAAUGGGCGAGAGCCUGAACCAGCCAAGUAGCGUGCAGGAUGACGGCCCUAUGGGUUGUAAACUGCUUUUAUAAGGGAAUAAAGUGAGUCUCGUGAGACUUUUUGCAUGUACCUUAUGAAUAAGGACCGGCUAAUUCCGUGCCAGCCGCCGCGGUAA